UCAAUAGCGUAUAUUAAAGUUGUUGCAGUUAAAAAGCUCGUAGUUGAAUUUCGGGGUCAGUAGGUUGGUCAUGCCACUGGUAUGUACUGGUCUCACUGAUUCCUCCUUCCUGAUGAACUGUAAUGCCAUUAAUUUGGUGUUGCAGGGAAUCUGGACUGUUACUUUGGAAAAAUUAGAGUGUUUAAAGCAGGCUAACGCCUGAAUACAUUAGCAUGGAAUAAUGAAAUAGGACGUUCGAUCCUAUUUUGUUGGUUUCUAGGAUUGACGUAAUGAUUAAUAGGGAUAGUUGGGGGGCAUUAGUAUUCAAUUGUCAGAGGUGAAAUUCUUGGAUUUAUUGAAGACUAACUACUGCGAAAGCAUUUGCCAAGGAUGUUUUCAUUAAUCAAGAACGAAAGUUAGGGGAUCGAAGACGAUCAGAUACCGUCGUAGUCUUAACCAUAAACUAUGCCGACUAGGGAUCGGAUGAUGUUAAUUUUUUAAUGACUCAUUCGGCGCCUUACG
rnacentral:rRNA from 1 species